rnacentral:rRNA from 1 species
UUCCCUCCAGAGUGGAUCCUGAGUACGGCGGAACACGUGAAAUUCCGUCGGAAUCCGGGAGGACCAUCUCCCAAGGCUAAAUACUCCCUAGUGACCGAUAGUGAACCAGUACCGUGAGGGAAAGGUGAAAAGCACCCCGGAAGGGGAGUGAAACAGUUCCUGAAACCGUGUGCCUACAAGUAGUUAGAGCCCGUUAAUGGGUGAUAGCGUGCCUUUUGUAGAAUGAACCGGCGAGUUACGAUUUGUUGCAAGGUUAAGCGGAAAAAGCGGAGCCGUAGCGAAAGCGAGUCUGAAUAGGGCGCAUAAGUAACAGGUCGUAGACCCGAAACCAGGUGAUCUACCCAUGUCCAGGAUGAAGGUAAGGUAAUACUUACUGGAGGUCCGAACCCACGCACGUUGAAAAGUGCGGGGAUGAGGUGUGGGUAGCGGAGAAAUUCCAAUCGAACUUGGAGAUAGCUGGUUCUCUCCGAAAUAGCUUUAGGGCUAGCCUCGAGGUAAAGAGUCAUGGAGGUAGAGCACUGUUUGGACUAGGGGCCCUUCUCGGGUUACCGAAUUCAGAUAAACUCCGAAUGCCAUGUACUUAUACUCGGGAGUCAGACUGCGAGUGAUAAGAUCCGUAGUCGAAAGGGAAACAGCCCAGACCACCAGUUAAGGUCCCCAAAUAUAUGUUAAGUGGAAAAGGAUGUGGGGUUGCUUAGACAACCAGGAUGUUGGCUUAGAAGCAGCCACCAUUGAAAGAGUGCGUAAUAGCUCACUGGUCGAGUGACCCCGCGCCGAAAAUGUACCGGGGCUAAACAUAUUACCGAAACUGUGGAUGAACCUCUUUAGAGGUUCGUGGUAGGAGAGCGUUCUAAGGGCGGUGAAGUCAGACCGGAAGGACUGGUGGAGCGCUUAGAAGUGAGAAUGCCGGUAUGAGUAGCGAAAGAAGGGUGAGAAUCCCUUCCACCGAAUAUCUAAGGUUU